rnacentral:rRNA from 1 species
GGGGUGCAGCAGGCGCGAAACCUCCGCAAUGUGAGAAAUCGCGACGGGGGGAUCCCAAGUGCCAUUCUUAACGGGAUGGCUUUUCAUUAGUGUAAAGAGCUUUUGGAAUAAGGGCUGGGCAAGACCGGUGCCAGCCGCCGCGGUAACACCGGCAGCUCUAGUGGUAGCAGUUUUUAUUGGGCCUAAAGCGUCCGUAGCCGGUUUAAUAAGUCUCUGGUGAAAUCCUGUAGCUUAACUGUGGGAAUUGCUGGAGAUACUAUUAGACUUGAGACCGGGAGAGGUUAGAGGUACUCCCAGGGUAGAGGUGAAAUUCUGUAAUCCUGGGAGGACCGCCUGUUGCGAAGGCGUCUAACUGGAACGGUUCUGACGGUGAGGGACGAAAGUUAGGGGCGCGAACCGGAUUAGAUACCCGGGUAGUCCUAACCGUAAACGAUGCGGACUUGGUGUUGGGGUGGCUUUGAGCUGCUCCAGUGCCGAAGGGAAGCUGUUAAGUCCGCCGCCUGGGAAGUACGGUCGCAAGACUGAAACUUAA